UCCGUUUUUGGGCGGGAAUCGCUCUUUUCCUGGAGAGGAAAGUCGACGCGUUUGAUGCAGAUGAUCUGCCUCGAUUCGAUCUAUCUUUCUCUUCAACCGUCUUCUCGUCGAUCGAUCAGGGGCGGAUAACCACUUGGGAGCUUGGUGGCGGUGAUCAGCGAAGCAAAUUGGUAGGUUGAGGUUGCGAGAUGGACCGACGCAGUUGGAUCUGGAGAUGGAAAUCAUCAGAAAAGGAGGGCGGCUGUGAGACGGAGAGCUCGGGUUCUGUAUCUUCAGAGAGGUCUUUUUACAAUGGUAUCUGUAGUCUCAUGGAAAUCUGGAAACAAACUUGUUUUUUUUUUCUAAUUGUAAUUUUGUUGUUUAUAAUUGUGUUGUGAUCAA